UUCAAACACCAAAACAUCUACCAUAGGAAAAAAGGAAGACUUUAUUCCAAAUUAGGUAUUUAUGUUAAAUUGGACGACACACGCAGAUUAAAAUAAAUACAGUGUAAAUUAAGGUGGCAGCCACUAUUAGAAGAAAGAGGGUACUAUAGGAACAAAACAAUAACCAACUUGGCAACAAGAUACAACACAGCUCGGUUCUGUCAACUCUAAACAAAAUCUAGUAUGUAUAACCACAAAAAAUCCUAUUGGGUUAUUACCAGCAAAAGCCACGAUUGAAGAAAAAAAUAAAAU